rnacentral:misc_RNA from 1 species
GAUGAAGAACGUAGCGAAAUGCGAUACGUAAUGUGAAUUGCAGAAUUCAGUGAAUCAUCGAAUCUUUGAACGCAUAUUGCGCUCUCUGGUAUUCCGGAGUGCAUGCUUGUUUGAGUAUCAGUAAACACCUCAACUCCCUUUUCUUUUUUGAAAUUGGAGCUGGACUUGAGUGAUCCCAACGCUUUCUUCCAAGAAAGUGGCGGGUUGCUUGAAAUGCAGGUGCAGCUGGACUUUUCUCUGAGCUAUAAGCAUAUCUAUUUAGUCUGCCUAAAAAACAGAUUAUUACCUUUGCUGCAGCUAACAUAAAGGAGACUAGUUCUUGUGCUGACUGAUGCAGGAUUCACAGAGACAGCUUCGGCUGACUUUGUAAACUCGAUCUCAAAUCAAGUAAGACUACCCGCUGAACUUAAGCAUAUCAAUAAGCGGAGGA